rnacentral:rRNA from 1 species
GGGCCCGCACAAGCGGUGGAGCAUGUGGUUUAAUUCGAUGAUACGCGAGGAACCUUACCAGGACUUAAAUGUAAGUUGCAUGAUUCAGAAAUGAAUCUUUCUUCGGACUACUUACAAGGUGCUGCAUGGUUGUCGUCAGCUCGUGCCGUGAGGUGUCAGGUUAAGUCCUAUAACGAGCGCAACCCCUAUCGUUAGUUGCCAUCAAGUAAAGUUGGGAACUCUAGCGAAACUGCCGGUGCAAACCGUGAGGAAGGUGGGGAUGACGUCAAAUCAUCACGGCCCUUACGUUCUGGGCUACACACGUGCUACAAUGGACGGUACAAAGGGUCGCGAAGCCGCGAGGUGGAGCCAAUCCCAAAAAGCCGUUCUCAGUUCGGAUUGGAGUCUGCAACUCGACUCCAUGAAGUCGGAAUCGCUAGUAAUCGU